CUUUAACUGACAACUGAUGUUUCUCCAAUAGUUCAAAUAGCUUAUUCCUGGACUGACCCUAUUCCUCACAGUAAAACUCUCAAGGUUAUCUCAGCCAUCUGCCAAAACACUUUCUUUGCAGUCAGACCAUCAAAGGCAACCACGCCAACCAAUCAUCGCUCUAAUGCACUAGGAACUUUACUCACUGAAUUGAGAAAUAAACUCAACACUUUAGCACUUUAGAUUGAUCUUGCCAUUUUUAUUCCACUGGAUCGUGCUACGUCAUCUUUUAUU